rnacentral:rRNA from 1 species
AGAGUUUGAUCAUGGCUCAGAAUGAACGCUGGCGGCGUGCCUAACACAUGCAAGUCGCACGAGAACGUUUCAGCUUGCUGAGACUAUUAAAGUGGCGCACGGGUGAGUAACGCGUGGGUAAUCUACCUCCGAAUUGGGGAUAACACUGCGAAAGCGGUGCUAAUACCGAAUGAUAUCCCCGAGACUCCGGUCUUGGUGAUCAAAGGUGGCCUCUACAUGUAAGCUGCUGUUUGGAGAUGAGCCCGCGUACCAUUAGCUUGUUGGUAGGGUAACGGCCUACCAAGGCUUCGAUGGUUAGCUGGUCUGAGAGGAUGAUCAGCCACACUGGAACUGACACACGGUCCAGACUCCUACGGGAGGCAGCAGUGAGGAAUUUUGCGCAAUGGGGGAAACCCUGACGCAGCAACGCCGCGUGAGUGAUGAAGGCUUUCGGGUCGUAAAGCUCUGUCAAGUGGGAAGAACCUGCUUUGUGCUAAUACUACGAAGCACUGACGGUACCACUGAAGGAAGCACCGGCUAACUCCGUGCCAGCAGCCGCGGUAAUACGGGGGGUGCUAGCGUUAUUCGGAAUCAUUGGGCGUAAAGGGCGCGUAGGCGGUCGCUUAAGUCAGAUGUGAAAGCCCUCGGCUUAACCGAGGAAGUGCAUUUGAUACUAAGUGACUUGAGUAUGGGAGAGGGAAGCGGAAUUCCUGGUGUAGCGGUGAAAUGCGUAGAUAUCAGGAGGAACACCGGUGGCGAAGGC